rnacentral:rRNA from 1 species
GUGAAUCAUCGAGUCUUUGAACGCAUCUUGCACCCUUUGGUAUUCCAAAGGGUAUGCCUGUUUGAGUGUCGUUAACCCUCUCAACACAGAUCAUGUUUAUUGGUUUGUGCUUGGACUUUGAAGGUUUGCUGGCCCCCAAGGGUCUAAGCUCCUUUAAAUGUAUUAGCAGGACUACGCACGGACUAGCUUCGGUUUGAUAAGCUCCUUUAUCUAUGCUGUCGCUAACAAGGCUCUAUUCAGCUUCCAAUUGUCUUUGGACUGUCUCAUUUACGAGGCAUUACAAUUAUUUGACAUUUACCUCAAAUCAGGUAGGACUACCCGCUGAACUUAAGCAUAUCAAUAAGCGGAGG